CAAUGUGGUUCAGAAUGUUGU
rnacentral:miRNA from 12 species